GUUUUGAUCCCGUGAGUUAUAACUCAUCCCUUCAAAAAACUUAAUUAUUUGUUUGUAUGUCUCUCCCUGCCGUCCCCAGUUGUGAAUUCCUGGAGUCAGACAUUAUUUUACUCAGCCACGUUUCUCUAGCACUAACCGCAAUAAACAUUUGUGAAUGGAAUUAAAUUCAAAUCAACUCGUUUUACAGAGCUUGUUCAUAAACAGAAAACACAUGGUCAAAGUGUAGAAUUCUGUUUCUCGUGUGAAACCUUGUAGAUGAUCAGAGACGAGCUCAUUUCCUCUUUUCUGAUUACUGCUCUAGCAAGUAGGACUUUCGUUCUGAAAAUGUAUUGUUUUUGCCGAUUACCUAACUGCUUUGUGGGUUGUGAAUACUUUGUACCCAUUCAUGUAUUGUUUUAACCGUUUCUGUUGUGUCUUGUCUGCCUUCCAGUGUGCUUUUAAAAAAGUUGUUUUGUGGAAUUUCUAAGAGGAAGUGAGUUAGGCUCUGUAGAUGGUUUUUGUGGUCUCGAAGACGUACAUUUAAAUACUUUUUUUUCCUGAACAACAAAUAUCUUUUUAAAAUCACAGCAAAAUGACUAUGCAGUGGCCAUCCAGCCCAGAUAACUCUUUGUCCCAAAUGCAUAGCAGUUAGAAAAUGUAAGAACCAAAGUCAAAGAAAGUUUAAAAGGUAAGUGGGAUACUGAAGUUAUAGGCCAGUUUUGCUCCAGGUAACGUGGAAAACCAGAGCAAGUUCACUGUUGCAAGGCCUGGGGUCAGGGUCCCUGGUGCACACCCAAAGUUGUUGCUGCUCACCACCCAGGUCCUUGGCUUCAGAGGAGCAUCAGGGCUAGGGAAGCAGAAGGAAGUAGAAAUUGAGCUUGUUCUGGGCUCUCCCCAAAUCACCAGGGGACAGGAGUCCUGAACUGGGGUCAAUCCUGGUAGGCCUACCCUCAAAAUUAAUAAUCAGGAGGUAGAGCCAGAUUGGACCCAGGUCUCCCAAAUUGCAGACAUAUAUUUAGAACACAAUUAAGAAAUACAAACACUAGCUCGAGAGACUCAAAAGAGGCACUAGAGGGAAUAGCAGCUAUGGCAGGCAGACCUCCCCACCAAAGAUACCCACACCCAAAUUUCUGGAACCUAUGAAUAUCUUAUACUACUUGGCAAGAGGGACUUUACAGAU
ensembl:lncRNA